rnacentral:rRNA from 1 species
AUUGGUGCUUGCAUCAUGAUUUACAUUUGCCCUACCAGGCGAACUGGUGAGUAACACGUGGGAAACCUGCCCAGAACUUUGGGAUAACACCUGGAAACAGAUGCUAAUACCGCAUAACAACUUGGACCGCAUGGUCCGAGUUUGAAAGAUGGCUUCGGCUAUCACUUUUGGAUGGUCCCGCGGCGUAUUAGCUAGAUGGUGGGGUAACGGCUCACCAUGGCAAUGAUACGUAGCCGACCUGAGAGGGUAAUCGGCCACAUUGGGACUGAGACACGGCCCAAACUCCUACGGGAGGCAGCAGUAGGGAAUCUUCCACAAUGGACGAAAGUCUGAUGGAGCAACGCCGCGUGAGUGAAGAAGGGUUUCGGCUCGUAAAACUCUGUUGUUAAAGAAGAACAUAUCUGAGAGUAACUGUUCAGGUAUUGACGGUAUUUAACCAGAAAGCCACGGCUAACUACGUGCCAGCAGCCGCGGUAAUACGUAGGUGGCAAGCGUUGUCCGGAUUUAUUGGGCGUAAAGCGAGCGCAGGCGGUUUUUUAAGUCUGAUGUGAAAGCCUUCGGCUCAACCGAAGAAGUGCAUCGGAAACUGGGAAACUUGAGUGCAGAAGAGGACAGUGGAACUCCAUGUGUAGCGGUGAAAUGCGUAGAUAUAUGGAAGAACACCAGUGGCGAAGGCGGCUGUCUGGUCUGUAACUGACGCUGAGGCUCGAAAGUAUGGGUAGCAAACAGGAUUAGAUACCCUGGUAGUCCAUACCGUAAACGAUGAAUGCUAAGUGUUGGAGGGUUUCCGCCCUUCAGUGCUGCAGCUAACGCAUUAAGCAUUCCGCCUGGGGAGUACGGCCGCAAGGCUGAAACUCAAAGGAAUUGACGGGGGCCCGCACAAGCCGGUGGAGCAUGUGGUUUAAUUCGAAGCUACCCGAAGAACCUUACCAGGUCUUGACAUACUUUGCAAAUCUUAAAAAAUUAAACGUUUCCUUCCGGGGACAUGGAUACAAGGUGU